GAUGAACGCUGGCGGCGUGCUUAACACAUGCAAGUCGAACGGAAAGGCUCCUGCUUGCAGGGAUACUCGAGUGGCGAACGGGUGAGUAACACGUGGGUGAUCUGCCCUGCACUUCGGGAUAAGCCUGGGAAACUGGGUCUAAUACCGGAUAGGACGAUGGUUUGGAUGCCAUUGUGGAAAGUUUUUCGGUGUGGGAUGAGCUCGCGGCCUAUCAGCUUGUUGGUGGGGUAAUGGCCUACCAAGGCGUCGACGGGUAGCCGGCCUGUGAGGGUGUACGGCCACAUUGGGACUGAGAUACGGCCCAGACUCCUACGGGAGGCAGCAGUGGGGAAUAUUGCACAAUGGGCGCAAGCCUGAUGCAGCGACGCCGCGUGGGGGAUGACGGCCUUCGGGUUGUAAACUCCUUUCGCUAGGGACGAAGCGCAAGUGACGGUACCUGGAGAAGAAGCACCGGCUAACUACGUG
rnacentral:rRNA from 1 species